ACCUAGGGAAAACAGCAGAUCAUUCUCCAGCAUCCCCAGGAGAACCCCUGAAAUGCACCCCGCUGACCAGGCAGCGGGCAAGCCCUCCGCAGCACUGGGUGACCCGGUGUUUUCUGGCUGAGCAAACCAAGGGGUUAACGAGGACGCGGAGACGCCUGCGCAGCUGGGGAUCAUUAGCUCCCUAGGCAAGGGCCGGCCGGGGAAGGAGGACGUCUCCCCGCUGUGAGGGGGCGCCCCGCCCAGGGAGUCUCGGAGGAGGAGACUGGGCGACCGACUUCGGUUUCCUUUUUUUCUGACGGUAACUACCCUCGGGGGAAGUUCCUCGUUCGUACGUGAGUUUGGUUUGUGAGCCCCGGCUGGUCCCCACAGUCCGUGGCUUGCCACUUGUGGCUAUUGAUGUUGGGCCCCGGUGGUUAGAAAACGGAUUCUUCCAAAUGGGGACUCUGUGGUUUGGUUUGGCGGCGCUGGGAGAUGUAACCCCACAAGUACAGUCAGGCCUGGGACAGUUACCCGCAGGGUGGGGCUCAGGGGUGCAGAGGCCUCCGCCUCCGCCCCUUCAUCUCCGGGCACUUUUUCCACUUACAUUUGAAAUUUAUUUAUUUAUUUAUUUAUUUUUUUCGUAGAAUAUAUCCUAUUCCUUCCGCUCCCCCGCAGGUUCUCCCAGGUCCUCCCCGGACCUCUCUACCCACCCAACUUCAGGUUCUUUCUCUGGCUCUCCAAAAACGCAAAAACAGGAAAGCAAAACUAAAGCUAAAAAGACAGCCAUCACCAAACCAUAACAACAACAGCAACCCCUCCCCCAAUGUUACACACACACACAUGCACGCGUGUGUGCGCGGUGUCUGUUUUGUGUUGGCUAACUACUCCUGAGCAUGGGGCCUGCCCGGAGUGUGGUUGAUAGGCCCCGGGUCACGCCAUUGGAGAAAACUGAUUUUCCAUCUCCUAGCAGGUGCCAGCUGUAAUGGCUUCUUGACCAGGGGUUCGACGUUCUGGGCGCUUCCUCCUCUCUAGUGCUAGGCUUCGGUCUGGUUUGGAGUUGUGCGGAUCUGUGUGUGGUCACUGUCUCUGCAAUGGCCUAGGUGAGGCUUCUGUUCCGGCCUCAGACUUUGUUCUGGGUGUAGCAGGUCCCUAACACUCCUAACCUCAGCCAGGGCUGGCAGGAAAUGUCCACCACAGCUCUAUUCUCCCCAGAUGGUUAUGUGCGGGAGUUUGCCCGGCUACCUUUGCUCCUGCCUGUCUCCUCAUUGAGAUGUCUGGAAGAACUAGGCUGAACUUCCGGGAUGCUGCAGCUUCUCCAUCAGAGAGCCCCAACCUACUGGAUCCCAGCUUUUCUGUGUGUCUGUUGGUCUUUCCUGCAUUUACUGGUUGCCCCUGUUAACUCGGUCCUGGGAGUUGUCCAAACACGGAGACAUACUAUAGAGCCCCUGUCCUGUAGGACGCAUUGGGAUCUAGAUGGAUGAUCAGGUCCAUCUGAAAGAGCUAGAAGGGGCGGGUAGCCAAGAGUUAGGUACAUUCCCUUCCCACUUCAAACAUAACCUCUGUUUGUACGGUAAGCUGUUUCCAUGCCAGGAUCUCUCUGAAGGCUCACUUCUCCCCACGAGACAGAAGAGGCGGACCAGAAAGUGCUAGCAAGUGGGCCAGGGCCGGUUGGACAUUCAGGCGACUUGCAGGCUCUUUUGUGUCUGUCCUCAUGCUUAGUGCUCAGGAGGAUCUGCUGGGUACACAAUGGUGACGUACACCGAGUUUCCCAGAGACUUGCUUCAACUUUGACCAGAGCUUCGCCUUCACAGCUGUCCCGGCCCUGGAGGAAGAUCCGGCAGGGCCCAGAACUCCUGGGUGUCAGCUCAUUCCAGGAUAGGGUGAUAAAACAGGGUGAUAAUCCAAGCAGGGAACUAGGAGGUGGCCUGCCCCUCCCACAGGGCUUGGGUCUCUCCCUCUCUGUAGGAGGCCUUCUCCUCCUGCUUGCUUCUCUGCUUGGCCUCUGCAGAUUUCUUCCUCCCUACUGCAUAGGCAAAGAAAGACAAAUCUUACAGUUGAGGCCAGCAGGAAUCCUGGGCCCUGGCUAUUUUCAGAGCUUAAAAUUGAAGCCCGUGCAUGCGGUUUGUUUUUCUCGGCACUUAAUUAGACUCAGUCUUCACAAAGACCUGGCCAGUUGUUUGGAAGCUGACACCAUGCUCCAAGGAGGAGAGCUGGGGCCUGGGGUGUUUUUACAUAUAGGAUUCUGUGGAGAACAAAACUGUUUGCAUUGGAGCCAGUUUAGGGUAAGUCCGCUGGGAGAGGAAGAGGGCAGGGAAGUUUCUAGGCUGUCCUUGCUGGUCUGAGCAGCAGCAAAAAUCCCAGAAGGCAUUGGAAGGGGGAGGGAUUGGAGAAGCCUCCACAGCGAGGCUGGGGUCGGGCUGGGGAACCAGAAUCCUCACAGCCUCGCUCAGGUGAGCCCGUCCUCAGAGGGCAAGCGAGUGGCACCUGCCGUGGGUGUUCCAAGCUGGCUGCCUGAGUCAGGAAUGAGCAGGCUCACCUGAUCUGCCUGCGCGAAUUUCUAGGCCAACUUCGGGCCUUCUAACUAAAACCACCAUCAUACCGAUCGUCCUUUAGCCCUGGGCAGGACUUUGAAGAUCCUUUAAUGAGAGUUUUAAGAACAGUGCGAAGGAACAGGCUCACUCAAAGCCACACAGCCAAUGAAAACUGGCAUUGGGUUGAAACCCUCUGGCCCAUAAGAUGGCCGAUUUGUUCAGUCUCUUCCUGGCUUUCACGAAGGAACAAGACUUUGUCCCAGAGUAAAGAGGCUUUGAUGGUGAUGGUGGUGGCGAUGGCGGUGGUGAUAGAGAUGAUGAUGAUGAUGCCUCUGUGCUUCAACAAAGACCACUUCUGACUUUAAGGAUGGGAAGGCAUCUCAUUUAUAACUAACCUAAGCCCAUCUAGCCCCAGGGUUUCAGGAAGCAGUGGCCAGGGAAGCUGACUUCUGAUGACUUUGAGAGAACCGCCUCUUCUCAGGGAGGGGCAGAAACAGGACACCUGCUAAUGACGUCCCACAUUCACGUGUUCUGCAACCUUCAUUCCUUCACAUCUUGGACACCAGGCACAGAGCACCACUUCUGGUGGACUGAGCUCAUAUCCCUUCAUUUAUCGGAACAUCCAAGGACCCACCUGGGACACCCAAUCUAUGAAGACGAGGGGAGACCUACCUACAUACCCCAGGACCCUGAACGAAGUUCAAUGACAGCUACAGCCAACAUUCAUGAGGUGGGCUUAUGCUCACCCGCUUCAUUCUGCCGCCACUGGGGGAAACACACUCUUUGGGGUACAAAGGAAGGGUAAUAGAAUUUCAUUCAGAAGCAAGAGUAGAGGGCAUGCUGUUCAUGACCAGAGCUGGAAGUGUCUGCAGAAUGGACUCCGUCAGGUCACACUGAGUGUCUGGCUAAAAGCCGAAACUCAAGUAGGAUCACUGUGUCCUGUGCUCCAUGGCUGGCUUUGGUACAUUCUGCACAAUAGCCUACGUUUCCUCUUCCCCUUGGCAGGGUCUUAGGCCAUGCAUUCACAGUGUCCUCAUUCCCUCCCCCUCCUGUGUUUAUCUUUAUAGCUGUGAGCCUAGCCUUUAACAACUGAGCCAUCUCCUCAUCCCCCCUCCCAUUUUUUAAAACAACAACAACAACAAAAGCCUCAUUUAUGUGUGCCAGCCAUGUGUAUGUGUGUGUGCGUACCUGUGGAGGCGAAAAGACAGUGUCAGAUACCCUGGCACUGGUGUUAAAGGUCAUUGGGAGCCAUUCUACCUGAACUGUGAACUGAAUGAAGAACUUGGGUCCUCUAGCAAGUUUUCUUCGCUGCUGAUCCUCUCUUCCUUUUUGGUCUCACACCUGCCACUCAACUUGUUUUUAUGAUCUGAACUGCAAUUAUUUGAUGUCUGCUAAAUGCAGACAAGAUACCCAAGGACGGUUGACUCCAGCUCUCGAGCGGUCCCUCUUCUCUACUUCCUCUUCAGACUAUUUCUUCUUCCUGCUUUAGACAUUUCAUCACCUCCACCAGGAAGGUCACAGGUGGAGGAAGUCAUGCUCCUUGUUAGUCUUUUGUGUCCACCAGCUUAUGCUAGUAGCUUCCACUAGAAAAAUACCCGUGGGAUUGUACUUAGAGCUUGGAGAUCACUUUUUUUUUUUUGUUUGUUUGUCUCUACAUUCCAUCUAAUCUGAGAACCUACAUAAUAUUGUCGCCUAAAUUAUUUUCUUCUGCAUACUGCAUUGGCUUUGUGUGCUAAAUCAUAUGUCAUCUUUUAUCUAUGACCUAUCCUUUGGCAAAUUCUGUAACUGAUGGAGAUGAACAGCAAAGCGGGCUGGUUGUAUUCCAUUAAAUGAAUUCAUGCGCACGUAUGAAGAUGCUACCUGGUCCAGAGUGAACACUCACUGACUACUUA